UAGGGAAUCUUCGNGCAAUGGACGGAAGUCUGACCGAGCAACGCCGCGUGAGUGAAGAAGGUUUUCGGAUCGUAAAGCUCUGUUGUAAGAGAAGAACGAGUGUGAGAGUGGAAAGUUCAUACUGUGACGGUAUCUUACCAGAAAGGGACGGCUAACUACGUGCCAGCAGCCGCGGUAAUACGUAGGUCCCGAGCGUUGUCCGGAUUUAUUGGGCGUAAAGCGAGCGCAGGCGGUUAGAUAAGUCUGAAGUUAAAGGCUGUGGCUUAACCAUAGUACGCUUUGGAAACUGUUUAACUUGAGUGCAAGAGGGGAGAGUGGAAUUCCAUGUGUAGCGGUGAAAUGCGUAGAUAUAUGGAGGAACACCGGUGGCGAAAGCGGCUCUCUGGCUUGUAACUGACGCUGAGGCUUGAAAGCGUGGGGAGCAAACAGGAUUAGAUACCCUGGUAGUCCACGCUGUAAACGAUGAGUGCUAGGUGUUAGACCCUUUCCGGGGUUUAGUGCCGUAGCUAACGCAUUAAGCACUCCGCCUGGGGAGUACGACCGCAAGGUU
rnacentral:rRNA from 1 species